UUGGGGUAUUCUUAAUUAAACUGAAUCUAUUUGGUCUUUAACGUUGUUGUACCUGAAAAGUACUUUCCUCUACAUUUGGAAUGUAUUGUUAUUUCAUUGAAUAAGCUUUACUGCCCUUGCUAUUCCAAAACUACCACUUGAACACCAAUGAUUAUUUAAUUUGCUGUUUGGACGUUAUUCUCUAUAUCCUGUAGCUAUUCUCUAGGCCUUUUCUAUUUCUUUAAUCUCUACAGAUUCUCCAAUACCCUAUCUUUAAGAUCACUGUUUUUUUAUGCUUGAUCCAUUCUGCUAAUGACAUCCUCUAAUAAUUAUUUCAGUUGAAACAAUUAUUUCUCAUUUGCAAUAUUUGUUUGGUGUAUUAUUUCAAUCUCUUCAAGUUUCUAAUACAUUCUUGGAUUCCUUUUCUGCAUUAUCUUGGGUUUUGCUACAUUUCCUUAAAAUUGCAUUUAUGAAUUCUUGAUUCUAGAGUUCAAACAUUACCAUCUCAUUAGGGAUGGCAACUGGCUCCAUGCUUUCUCUGUUCAGGGUAGUCAUGGUUAUUGGCUUGCUGCUGUUUCUUGUAGACGUAUGCCUACAGUUUCACAUUGAACAAUUAAUUAUAUAUUUAUUCCAGUCUCAGCUGUCUAGCUUUUUUUGGUCUUCCUAGAGUAUAUUUUCUUAGAUAUUAUUAUUUGUAGUUCCCUGUCAAGACUACUUAAUCCGUGAGUGCUGCCUGUUUUAGAUUUGACUCAGCUCUCACAAACAUUUGGAGCAUUGCCCAUCCCAUAUAGGGGUCCCAAAGUCAAUCCUCUGGCUGUGCAGGAAGGUUGGAUAGGCAUUUGUGCAAAGAACUAUGAACUCUGCCUACUACAUUAUAGUGCUGCUGAACAGCCACUCUGACUUGGCAUCUAUGUUGUCUGACGUAAAGAAAAUUUUCAGGCUGGAGUUGUGAAUCUCAACUGGCCCAAUUGUCUUUCACUGCCAUCAUGGGAUUUUCUUUCUACAAGCACACACAAUACUUCCCAUGUUUUAAGCUAUUAACAGCUUUUCAACAAGAGAAGCCAAGAUGGUGAAGAAGCUGUGUGCCAAAAUCUCACAUUUAUCCCAUGUUGAACUGGUGAAUGUCGAUAAAAUUUUCCACACAUGAUGGCAGGCACAUAGGAGUCUCAUAAAUACAGAAGAAGCCUUUUAUCAUCUGCUCCAAGUUUUUCACUUCUCUGUAGUCUGAGGAAAUGUCUCAGCCUCGGAUUUCAGUUCUGGGAUAUAACUUGUGAUAAUAUUGGUGCUGGAUAUAUUACUGAGGUUCUAUGGGGGUGAGUAAAACCAGAGUGUUUUUACUCUGAGAUUUUGGUGACCCAUUAUGUUCUUGAUGUCACACCUUACAUAUAUUUAUAUCACAUAUGGCUAAACAAAUUGUUGUAAUUAUUAAUAGUUUUGUAGAUGGACAUCAUGGCAGGUGCCCAUAAUACCGUCUAAUCAGAAGGCUGAGGGGGGAAAAUUGCUUGAGCCCAGAAGUUUCAGACCAGCCUGAGCAACAUAGCAACAGCCAUCUCAUUAAAAAAGUUUUGUGUAUUAACCUUAACAAUAAAGAUAUACGUUAUUUGUACACCACCAUUACAGUAUACCAGUACUGUGAAUUUGAGUUACUUACCUUUUACCAGUCAGUUUUAUACAUUCAUGUUUUUGUGUUAUGCAUGAGCUGCUUCUUUCAAUUUGAAGAAUUCCCUAUAACAUUUCACUUGUUUUAAUGAAUAAUGAGAUAAAAAAGGUUAAGUCUUCAAUAUCUGUGGAUCCGUUAAUAUUUUCAGUUUAUUUUCCAGAUAUAUUAAAAUUCUGUAUAGUUCCAUCCAAAUAUUGGAAUUUAGGAAUCAUCCCAGAUAAUUUUCCCUGUCCUUUAUUUCUCUGUUCCACCCUUCCUUUGGUAAGUGUUCACAUUAUUUAUCAUUUUUCUUUCUCUUGCUUAUAAGCUGUUACUCUCCUGUAUUAAAACCAUUCUUCUAGUUGCUUUACAUAUUUACAUAUUAUGUUAAAAUAAAGACUCACAAAAUGCUGCAAAUAUAGUACCGUUUACACAUACCACUCAAUUUUCCCCAGUGGUGAUAUUUUCCAUUAACAUUGUACAAUAUCACAACCAGCACAUUGUCAUUGGUGAAAUGUGCACAUUUACAUGACAUUUUAUCACAUGUAUACAUUUUUGUAACCACUGCAUGAAUCAGAAUGCAGAACUCAUCCAUCAUUAAAAACGUAUCCCUUCCACUAGUCUUAUAAUCACAUACAACCCUAACUUCUACCAUCCCUAACAGAUGAAUACGAACAAUGUUCUCUAAACUAUUUAACUUCAUCACAUUAAGAUACAUAAAAAUAAGCAUUAUGUUACAACUUGAAAUGGGUUUUUCCUUCAGAAUUGAGAAUCAUCUAAGGCUUAUUUGUAUAGUAGUAGUUUAUUCCUUUUAAUUUUUGAGUUGUAUUACACAAUACGGAAAUAACAGACUUAUUUAACUGUUUACCUGGUGAAUAACAUGUGAGUUGUUUCCAGGUUCUGACUAUUACAAAUAAAAUUUCUGUGAACAGUCAAGUGCAGGUUUGGUCUACACAUAAAUUUUCAUUUCUAUGAAAUAGGCCAUGACAGCAAUUGCUAAGCCUAACUAACUGUAUGUGUGUGUUUAGCUUUAAAAGAAAUUGCCAAAUUAUUUUCCAAUGUGGUAUACAGUUUUAUAUUCCCAUCAGCAAUAAAGAUUCAAUUUUUUCUGCAUGCUUCUCAGCCUUUGGAAUCAUUAUGUUUUAACUAUUUCAGCUACUGAAAUAAAUCUGCUGUAGGCCAGGUGUGGUGGCUCACACCUCUUAAUUCCAGCACUUUGGGAGGCUGAGCCACCGCACCUAGCGAUGCUUAAAUCUUCUAG
rnacentral:lncRNA from 10 species